UACGUAGGGUGCGAGCGUUAAUCGGAAUUACUGGGCGUAAAGCGUGCGCAGGCGGUUAUUUAAGACAGAUGUGAAAGCCCCGGGCUUAUCCUGGGAACUGCGUUGGAAACUGAUAAACUAGAGUACGGCAGAGGGGGGUAGAAUUCCACGUGUAGCAGUGAAAUGCGUAGAUAUGUGGAGGAAUAUCGAUGGCGAAGGCAGCCCCCUGGGUCGAUACUGACGCUCAUGCACGAAAGCGUGGGUAGCAAACAGG
rnacentral:rRNA from 1 species